GCACUGGUGGUUCAGUGGUAGAAUUCUCACCUUCCAUAUGAGAGACCCGAGUUCAAUUCCCUGCCAGUGCG